GGGGAGGGCUGGUUUUGCUUCUGCUGGAACAGGACAGAGAGACGGCCUUGGACUGCAGUUUGUGAGCAAUAAACAGGAAUCGCUUCCCUCUUCCUUUGAAGUCUCAGGCCCCACCCCCUUCUCCUGGGUUCAGGAUGACAUAAAGACCUCACUCUCCAUGACUUCCCAGUAUGUAUCUCAAGGAGGAUGCUGGCCCCCCGACAGUGCCUGCCUGAGGAAAACCAAGGCUGCUGGAAGAAUUUACCCGUCUGCUCCAGCCAAGCUUAGAGAGGGCCCAGCCGCUGGCUGCGAAGGAGCCCAACAAAGAGGGGCCUCACGUGGACCAGCCCCCUUCCCUCCUGCCUGGGAUUCUUCACUUCCCUGACCCCACUGAGCCCUGCACACACUCUCCCUAGCCCUCCUCCCCUGUGCACACUAAGGCUGAGGCCCCCCCCUGCAGGCCUCUAUUGCAAUAGUAUUUUAUUUAUUAAAUCUGUCAUUCCACUUUACCUCAUGCCCAGCUUUACUUGUGACACCUACUGCAUUCUACAAGCAUCACCACUGGUGGCAUGGGGCGGGGUCGGUGGGGGACAAGUGCUCCUUGAGGUGGGAGUAGGGCUUUUGGUGUCUGGUUCCUGGUGUCCAGCACAGUGUCUGUGAAUGAAGGGAGGUGGGAGGAAAACAUCAUUCUGAGUUUCAAGGAGCUUAAAGCCCAUCAACAACGUUAGGUAUUUUACAAAAUGGCAUGUAAUUUAAUGCCAGCAUGUCUGAUGAGUCUUCCUAGACCCCGAACCUCAGCAAUAACCAGGAUCCCUCCCCAGGUCAGCUCCACCAGCUGUCAGAACUGAGGCCCCAGGGGCCUGGCUCCCCAGCCACAUGGCAGCCCCAGUGGGAGGCCCAGCCGCACCCAUGCAGCUGAUCCUCAUGGGCCUUCCAGAAGCUGCGCUGCUGGCAUGGCUAACCCCACAGGGCAGAGCCCAAGACAGAUGCCUUCACAUCUCACCACAGGGGCUUCUUGAAAAUAGGCAUCUGAGUUUUGGAAACAGCCAAAACUUGUCCAGAGACAAAGUGAUGCCUCAGAGAGACAGGUGGUCAAGCUGCGGGCACCACAAAUAGCACCAGUGGUGGCCUCGUGUGCAGCUGGGAAGGGGCUCUGAGGUCAUUCCACUGACAGGGCUCCCGGAACGGCUCUGAACCUGAAAUCAGGAAAUCAGGAGAUGGGUUCAAAAUCCAAUAGACUUCACAUGCAUUAGGAUGGUUGUUAUAAAAAAUAAAAUAACUGUCGGCAAGGAUGUAGAGAAACUGGGACCCUUGUGCUUUGCUGCUGGGAAUAUAAAAUGGUGCAGCCACUCCAUGUGGCCAUUCCUCAGAAGAGUCAACACAGAGUUACCAUACAAUCCAGCAACCCCACUUCUGGGUCUGUACCCAAAAGAAGUGACA